AACCUGGUUGAUCCUGCCAGUAGUCAUACGCUCGUCUCAAAGAUUAAGCCAUGCAUGUGUUAGUAUAAACGAUUUUAUACAGUAAAACUGCGAACGGCUCAUUAUAUCAGUUAUAGGUUAUUUGAUACUCUUUCACUAUUGGAUAACCGUAGUAAUUCUAGAGCUAAUACAUGCUCACAGUCCCAACUCACGGCGGGAUGUAUUUAUUAGAUUUCAAUCAACAUUUUUUGCUGACUCAUGAUAACUUAGCGGAUCGCAGAGGCCUCGUGCCGGCGACAAAUCAUUCAAGUUUCUGCCCUAUCAGCUUUCGAUGGUAGUGUAUUGGACCUACCAUGGCAUUAACGGGUAACGGAGGAUUAGGGUUCGAUUCCGGAGAGGGAGCCUGAGAAAUGGCUACCACAUCCAAGGAAGGCAGCAGGCGCGUAAAUUACCCAACCCUAAUUCAGGGAGGUAGUGACAAUAAAUAUCGAUGCGGGGCCCUUAGUGGUCUUGCAAUCGGAAUGA
rnacentral:rRNA from 1 species